CCUACGGGAGGCAGCAGUGGGGAAUAUUGGGCAAUGGAGGCAACUCUGACCCAGCAAUGCCGCGUGAGUGAUGAAGGUAAUUUUAUUGUAAAGCUCUUUUCUUUGGAACGAAUAAAUGACGGUACCAAAGGAAUAAGCCCCGGCUAACUACGUGCCAGCAGCCGCGGUAAUACGUAGGGGGCAGGGUUAAUUGGAAUUAAUGGGCGUAAAGGGGUCGUAGGGGGUAUGUAAAGUCAAGGGUGAAAUCCCCGCGCUCAACGUGGGUACUGCAUUUGAAACUGGCAAACUGGAGUGUGUGAGAGGAUAGUGGAAGUCCAGGUGUAGGAGUGAAAUGCGUAGAUAUCAGGAGGAACAUCAGUGGCGAAGGCGACUAUCUGGCACAUAACUGACGCUGAGGAGCGAAAGCGUGGGUAGCAAACAGGAUUAGAUACCCGAGUAGUC
rnacentral:rRNA from 1 species